rnacentral:rRNA from 1 species
UACGGAGGGUGCAAGCAUUGAUCGGAAUUACUGGGCGUAAAGGGCGCGUAGGCGGCGCGAUAAGUCAGAUGUGAAAUACCACGGCUCAACCGUGGUGCUGCAUUUGAAACUGUCGAGCUAGAGGAUAGUUAGGGAAAACGGAAUUCCACGUGUAGCGGUGAAAUGCGUAGAUAUGUGGAAGAACACCGGUGGUGAAGACGGUUUUCUAGGCUAUACCUGACGCUGAGGCGCGAAAGCUAGGGGAGCAAAC